rnacentral:tRNA from 1 species
GCCCGGGUAGCUCAGUGGUAGAGCAGCGGACUGAAAAUCCGCGUGUCGCUGGUUCAAUCCCGGCCCCGGGCACCA